UGGGGGAUAUUGCGCAAUGGGGGCAACCCUGACGCAGCAACGCCGCGUGAAGGAUGAAGGUUUUCGGAUUGUAAACUUCUUUUAUUAAGGACGAAACUUGACGGUACUUAAUGAAUAAGCUCCGGCUAACUACGUGCCAGCAGCCGCGGUAAUACGUAGGGAGCAAGCGUUGUCCGGAUUUACUGGGUGUAAAGGGUGCGUAGGCGGCUUUGCAAGUCAGAUGUGAAAUCUAUGGGCUCAACCCAUAAACUGCAUUUGAAACUGUAGAGCUUGAGUGAAGUAGAGGCAGGCGGAAUUCCCCGUGUAGCGGUGAAAUGCGUAGAGAUGGGGAGGAACACCAGUGGCGAAGGCGGCCUGCUGGGCUUUAACUGACGCUGAGGCACGAAAGCGUGGGUAGCAAACAGGAUUAGAUACCCUGGUAGUCCACGCUGUAAACGAUGAUUACUAGGUGUGGGGGGUCUGACCCCUUCCGUGCCGGAGUUAACACAAUAAGUAAUCCACCUGGGGAGUACGGCCGCAAGGUUGAAACUCAAAGGAAUUGACGGGGGCCCGCACAAGCAGUGGAGUAUGUGGUUUAAUUCGAAGCAACGCGAAGAACCUUACCAGGUCUUGACAUCCAACUAACGAAGUAGAGAUACAUUAGGUGCCCUUCGGGGAAAGUUGAGACAGGUGGUGCAUGGUUGUCGUCAGCUCGUGUCGUGAGAUGUUGGGUUAAGUCCCGCAACGAGCGCAACCCUUGCUAUUAGUUGCUACGCAAGAGCACUCUAAUAGGACUGCCGUUGACAAAACGGAGGAAGGUGGGGACGACGUCAAAUCAUCAUGCCCCUUAUGACUUGGGCUACACACGUGCUACAAUGGCGUAAACAAAGGGAAGCAAAGCUGUGAAGCCGAGCAAAUCUCAAAAAUAACGUCUCAGUUCGGACUGUAGUCUGCAACCCGACUACACGAAGCUGGAAUCGCUAGUAAUCGCAGAUCAGAAUGCUGCGGUGAAUACGUUCCC
rnacentral:rRNA from 1 species